AUGCCAGUCUCAUGGCUGUGUUCCUCCAGUAGCAAAUACAAACCAUAAGUGCUUGAAAGUUUUUGCUGUCAAGUUGUCCAUCAAAAACACCCCAAAGACACUGUGGAAUCCAAUAAACUCUCCAAGCCAAGGUUUCAUACUGUAUCACACAGGUAAAGGUAUAGGUUUCUCCUGACAUUAAGUCCAGUCACGUCUGACUCUGGGGGUUGGUGCUCAUCUCCAUUUCUAAGCCAAAGAGCCGGCGUUGUCCGUAGACACCUCCAAGGUCAUGUGGCCAGCAUGACUGCAUGGAGCGCCGUUACCUUCCCGCCGGAGCGGUGCCUAUUGAUCUACUCACAUUGGCAUGUUUUUGAACUGCUAGGUUGGCAGAAGCUGGAGCAACAGCGGGCGCUCACUCCGCUCCCGGGAUUUGAACCUGCGACUUUUCGGUCUCAGUUACUUUAUCGGGGAAUACCAGAAGGGGAGAUGAGAAGGCCAUUCAAUCAGUUCUGCCAGAAGACCAGACCGGCUAUGUGAAAACUACAAGCUUUUGUUCCUUUUGACUACAGCUGAGAUAGGACUUUGAGGUACCACUAUUAGCUUUUUUGAGAGACCAGUUCCAUUUGACUUCUUGGUUUUUUUAAUAACUGUUUGGUGUUGUGUAACUUCAAGUCAUUUCUGUCUUCUGGCAACCCUAAGAAGAACCUUUAAUGGGGUUUCUUGGUUCUGAGUCUUGCCAAGGGUCAACUAUUGGGUUUUCAUGGCCAAGCAAGAGUUUGAAUUGUGUUCUCCAGAGUUGUAGUCCAAUGCUCAAACCACUACACCAUUUGGCUAAUUCUUGAAUUUACCAUUUGAAUAAGGUAAACUGGCUGGGAUUUUUGGGAAUUGCAAGCUAAAACACUUGGGGACCCAAAGGUUAAGAACCACUGCUGUAGGAUCUGGUGUCUUGUUUUCCUCUUUCCUCCCCUUUCUGUUUUCCCUUUACACCUGCCAUUCUUGUUGCCAUUAAACACUGACUUUUAUCCAAUGAGCCUAAUGAUAAAAACGUUACAAAAAUACACCCCUUGUCCAGAAUUCCAAAAUCUGAAAUACUCCAAAAUUGCUUACAGAUAGUGACAGCUUGGCUUUCUGAUGGUUCGAUGUACACAAACUUUGUUUUAUGAACUGAAUUAUUUAAAAUAUUGUAUAUAAAAUUACCUUCCAGCUGUGAGUAAAAUUGUACAUAAAACAUAAAUAUCACAUUUAGACAUUGGUCUCAUCUCUGAGAUAGCUCAUUAUGGAUAUGCAAGUUUUUCAACAUGUGAAAAAAUAAGAAAUAUAGAACACUUCUGGUCCAAAUCAACCUGUAAUAAUACAGGUUGAUUAAUAAUACAGUUUGAUAGCCACCCAUAUGGAUAAUUUUGAAAUGGUUUGAUUUCUGGCCAAAGGGCACUCAAGCUAUACUGCUAAAAUACAUGCCAACAAACUCAUCAGCCAUUAAGUAAAUGUGAUUCAUUUCCAGUUUACAAUUCCCUUCUGUGCCCCCAGAAAUAAAGUACACUGACUUUAAGAGAAACAACGUAUUACCUUUCUAGUAGAUGAGCCAGCAGAUUAAUGAUAGGAAACAGAAUGUUUUAUGCAAUGCCAACAUGAUUGCCUCUCGAAAUUAGGAUAAUUGACAACUGGUGGAGUUAAUUUGUCAUAGCACUAAAUAGAGUUGACAUGGAGGUGGGGGGAUGAGGCAUUCUUGAUUGUUUCUUUCCCCCCUUCAGCGGAAUAUGAUCAAUGGGUGCUUCAAAACACAGGCUGUAGAUAAUAGAAAACCAUUUGGACUUUCUCCCCCGCCCCUCUUGGAAAUAGCUUAUAGAGAUCAAAAGGGCUUCUUAUUAAUUUCUCAUGUGCUUUCAUUAGUCUAGUGUCAUUUGUUUCAUUAGUUAUGUGCUGUUUCACAUUGAUGCCAAUCACAGCAAACUAAUAACCCUGUGAAAUUGUGCCCAUUAUAAAAAUAGUUAUUUGGAUCAUUUGUAUUUGGGAAUAAGUGAUGAAAUGCAGAUGAUUUGUUCAGUUAUGCUCAGGAGUCAGGACAUUCACGAAAAAGGAUAUAAGCUGUGUGAUAAGGAGUGAGGGGUAAUAUAAUAAAUACAUCACCUGUCACACUGCCCAGUCCCUUCCAGGAAGUUCUUGUAUUUUGUUAACAUUUCCAGGACAUAUAAAAUCGACAAAGUGGACAAACUAAUUUCAUCACCAUGCUGGAAGGGCAUCUUAAUUCUAAAUUAAGAUGCCAUGGAUUGAGCUGGAUCUUGGGCAGAGUAAUAAAGAGGUAAGAUUAGGGAUGUCUGAACAAAAUGAUUCUCCAAGCCCCCCCCCCCCCGAUUUUGCACCUCCCG
rnacentral:lncRNA from 1 species